GUAGGGAAUAUUAGUUAAUGUGCGAAAGCGCGAACUAGCAACGCCGCGUGUGCGAUGACGGCCUUCGGGUUGUAAAGCACUUUUGAAGGGGAUGAGGAAGGACAGUACCCUUCGAAUAAGCCUCGGCUAACUACGUGCCAGCAGCCGCGGUAAAACGUAGGAGGCGAGCGUUAUCCGGAUUUACUGGGCGUAAAGCGCGUGCAGGUGGUUUGGUAAGUUGGAUGUGAAAGCUCCUGGCUUAACUGGGAGAGGUCGUUCAAUACUACCGAACUUGAGUAUGGGAGAGGGAGGCGGAAUUCCGGGUGUAGUGGUGAAAUGCGUAGAUAUCCGGAGGAACACCAGUGGCGAAAGCGGCCUCCUGGCCCAUUACUGACACUCAGAUGCGAAAGCUAGGGGAGCGAACGGGAUUAGAAACCCCAGUAGUCC
rnacentral:rRNA from 1 species